GCGCUCGUAGCUCAGCUGGAUAGAGCAUCGGAUUUCUAAUCCGCAGGUCGCAGGUUCGAAUCCUGCCGAGCGUGCCA
rnacentral:tRNA from 1 species